rnacentral:rRNA from 1 species
UACGAAGGGGGCUAGCGUUGUUCGGAAUUACUGGGCGUAAAGCGCACGUAGGCGGAUACUUAAGUCAGGGGUGAAAUCCCGGGGCUCAACCCCGGAACUGCCUUUGAUACUGGGUAUCUCGAGUCCGGAAGAGGUGAGUGGAAUUCCGAGUGUAGAGGUGAAAUUCGUAGAUAUUCGGAGGAACACCAGUGGCGAAGGCGGCUAUCUGGACCGUAACUGACGCUGAGGCGCGAAAGCGUGGGGAGCAAACAGG